CUUACACAGAACAAGACUUAAGUCAGACAAAGCUGGUCUGGCUGGCUCAUGAUGCUGUGGCUGAACCCUGUUGAGAAAACGAAUUUUGUAUCUUCCCGUAGAGCAUAUUUCAUGAUAUAUUUCCCCCGAUAAGUGGCCCGAUGCUUUAACCUUCACUUUUCCAUGUCCUGCGCCGCUCUGGCGAUUUUCCAUUGACAUUGAUAUUUCCAUUAAUUGAUACUGUAUUGAUACUGCAUUCACGAUCGCGCCAGCAACUGGUACAUUAUGCAUUUAUGCAAGGCUUUGACCGGACUAUGCUAUGCUGCGAACGAGAGGGUCGCGAUACAGCGGUGGCCAGGAAUACCUCUUGCCUGCCCGCUGACUCCAUUGCGCCCACCAUGGUCUUCCGGUUUUUACAGCGAGUGUGCGCUCGAUAACUUCUGUCCACUGGAGGGGCCUGACCGGCUUCCAUCGCGCACUACUCGCUGGCUCCAGGGGAUGGGACCACGACUCCGCGCGCUCCUCGGGACAUGACUGCUGUCGCGCGAGCUGUGGCCUUUCGCCUGGGUGGCCUUUGGAUCCGGCCACUGGCAUACCCCUCUUCUCCGCUUUUCCGGUCUGCUCGCCGUCCGUACCUCGUCCGUAAGUGAUCCCGCCGUAGCUCCUCGUCCUCUUUUGAGAGUUCCAAGAGAUGUGCUCCUGGCUGGACUGUGGGACUCCUGAUGCCGCUGCUGUGUCGCUGAGUCGACAAUGUGGCGUCUCGUCCUAUGCAGCAGGGACUAGUGAAAUAAUGUCAGCAACCCUCACAUCCAUGCGCCGCCGAAUCAAACGCUGGGCUUCAGCUUCGAGACGCGAAACUUAUGUACAUAUGUACAUAUGUACAUUACGCCUUGCCACAAACUGAGUCGUAUCCGAUUUCCCAACGCAAGACGGAAUCCCAGUCAGACAGAAUCGCAUUCCAGCAGGACAGAAGCGCAUCCUUUGCAAGAGGCCGAACCUACCAAGCCGCCGCAUCUUUUGACUUGGCCAUCGACAACAAUCUCAAGGACUUUGGCUAUGGAAACCAAGGAGGAGCUGCGUGGUCUACUAGACUCUAGAUAGAUCUCCUUGUUGUUAGGUUUAAGGAUACAUACGUCUAUAAGUAGUAGAUAAAAAUGUA